GACGAACCGUGCGAACGUUAUUCGGAAUCACUGGGCUUAAAGGGUGCGUAGGCGGGUUGCCAAGUCUGUGGUGAAAUCCUCCAGCUUAACUGGAGAACUGCCGUGGAUACUGGCGACCUCGAGGGGUGUAGGGGCUUGCGGAACUGUGCGUGGAGCGGUGAAAUGCGUUGAUAUGCACAGGAACUCCGGUGGCGAAAGCGGCGAGCUGGACACCUUCUGACGCUGAGGCACGAAAGCUAGGGGAGCGAACAGG
rnacentral:rRNA from 1 species